rnacentral:lncRNA from 1 species
CAUGCACCUUCCACAGUAGGAGGCCCGGAUGCAAGACGGGAAAGCAAGCAGGCUUCUCACUUACUAAGGCAGCAAAUAAUUUGUUAAGCGCAUAUUGUUACUAAGAUAUUGUAGAGGUGGGAGGUGGGGAAGAAUCCACAGAGAAGUGGAACCCUCAUUGUUGUCUCUCAAGGAACUUUCCAUUCAGUUGGGAACACAUAUGACGUAAUGAAACUCCUGAAUGUAGGGCGUGGAGACAUUGAUGAGUUGGUGCUCGAUCUGAGAAACAGUGGAGAGCCGCUCUCCACAUUUAACCAUCCCCAAAUGGUGCCAGUCGUCUAAAGACAUGCCUGAACAAGUGACAGUGUUUGACAGACCUUAUAUCUCCUUUCUAUCACACCAAAAUCUCUGUAGUGAGCUCAGGCAAUGUUUUGACCUGCUGGUGUGCUGAUGCACUUCAGGAUAAAAAGAAUUGGUCCACAUUGUAGCAAUAACUUCCAGGAAGAAACGAGUGGUUGUGGAGCUGAUAAGUGGUAGCAGGUUGACUCCAAAGCCUAGCGUCUUAACCUCUAUCAUACACCGUUUCUCAAUCAAAAUGGAAGAACCAUUUUAAACACAUUAAACCCUAGUGGCUUUAAAU